GUGCUCACUUUGGUAGUGCGAACACUAAAAGUUGGUGUCAGAUGAUACAAGAAGAUUAGCAUAGCCUUUGUGCAAGGAAGACACAAAUUCAUGAAGCGUUCCCUAUUUUU